rnacentral:rRNA from 1 species
GACGAACGCUGGCGGCGCGCCUAAUACAUGCAAGUCGAGCGAAUGGAUUAAGAGCUUGCUCUUAUGAAGUUAGCGGCGGACGGGUGAGUAACACGUGGGUAACCUGCCCAUAAGACUGGGAUAACUCCGGGAAACCGGGGCUAAUACCGGAUAACAUUUUGAACCGCAUGGUUCGAAAUUGAAAGGCGGCUUCGGCUGUCACUUAUGGAUGGACCCGCGUCGCAUUAGCUAGUUGGUGAGGUAACGGCUCACCAAGGCAACGAUGCGUAGCCGACCUGAGAGGGUGAGCGGCCACACUGGGACUGAGACAUGGCCCAGACUCCUACGGGAGGCAGCAGUAGGGAAUCUUCCGCAAUGGACGAAAGUCUGACGGAGCAACGCCGCGUGAGUGAUGAAGGCUUUCGGGUCGUAAAACUCUGUUGUUAGGGAAGAACAAGUGCUAGUUGAAUAAGCUGGCACCUUGACGGUACCUAACCAGAAAGCCACGGCUAACUACGUGCCAGCCGCCGCCGUAA